rnacentral:rRNA from 1 species
CGAAAGUCUGACGGAGCAAUACCGCGUGAGGGAGGAAGGCUUUUGGGUUGUAAACCUCUUUUGUUAAGGAAGAAGAAAGUGACGGUACUUAACGAAUCAGCAUCGGCUAACUCCGUGCCAGCAGCCGCGGUAAUACGGAGGAUGCAAGCGUUAUCCGGAAUCAUUGGGCGUAAAGCGUCCGCAGGUGGCUGUUCAAGUCUGCUGUCAAAGACAGAAGCUUAACUUCGGAAAGGCGGUGGAAACUGAAAAACUAGAGUACGGUAGGGGUAGAGGGAAUUUCCAGUGUAGCGGUGAAAUGCGUAGAGAUUGGAAAGAAAACCAGUGGCGAAGGCGCUCAACUGGGCCGUAACUGACACUCAGGGACGAAAGCUAGGGGAGCG